rnacentral:tRNA from 1 species
GCUAUAAUAAUUUAAUUAAAAUAUUGGUCUUGUAAACCAAAAAUAAAUCUUCUUUUUUAGCU